rnacentral:rRNA from 1 species
UACGAAGGGGGCUAGCGUUGCUCGGAAUCACUGGGCGUAAAGCGCACGUAGGCGGCUUUCUAAGUCAGGGGUGAAAUCCUGGAGCUCAACUCCAGAACUGCCUUUGAUACUGGAGUGCUUGAGUCCGGGAGAGGUGAGUGGAACUCCGAGUGUAGAGGUGAAAUUCGUAGAUAUUCGGAAGAACACCAGUGGCGAAGGCGGCUCACUGGCCCGGUACUGACGCUGAUGUGCAAAGCGUGGGGAGCAAACAGGAU